GAACGAGAAAGUGGAGCAAUCCAUGAGUACAGUGGCGUACGGGUGAGUAACACGUGACUAACCUACCCUCGAGUGGGGAAUAACUUCGGGAAACCGAGGCUAAUACCGCAUAACAUCUACGGAUCAAAGGAGCAAUCCGCUGAAGGAGGGGGUCGCGGCUGAUUAGCUAGUUGGUGAGGUAACGGCUCACCAAGGCGAAGAUCAGUAGCCGGCCUGAGAGGGCGCACGGCCACACUGGAACUGAAACACGGUCCAGACUCCUACGGGAGGCAGCAGUGGGGAAUUUUGCGCAAUGGGGGAAACCCUGACGCAGCAACGCCGCGUGGAGGAUGAAGUCCCUUGGGAUGUAAACUCCUUUCGAUCGGGACGAUGAUGACGGUACCGGAAGAAGAAGCACCGGCUAACUCUGUG
rnacentral:rRNA from 1 species